rnacentral:lncRNA from 1 species
AUGCAGAAUCAUACAAACCCUGUGAAACUAAGGACUUGCCAGGUAUAUGCAGUUCCACUAAGAAAAAGAAGUCCUGCCCAAAGGGAAGGGUUUGGAGCUUUUUUCUACUGCAGCAACUGCCCGGCUUGUAAAAUUGCCUUGGGAGGGGAGCUGAGUGGUGCUCAUAAUGGAGUCCUUCAUACCUCAGAGAGAGCAGCUGCCUCACACUUCAGUGCACACAAACAAAACACCUGCUUAAACCCAGAAAAACCAGUAAGCAAUGAGCCCGACUAUAUGGUGGAUGUUGUUUACACUUUCUCUUAUACCCUACUUAAAAUAUUUUAAUGUAUUUUUCUGCAUUUUGACAUUUUGAAAAGCUGUGGUUCCUUAUAGAAACAUUUUCUUAUCUUUUUGUGGAACAUGAAAAAUUACUACCAAUAUUUUGCUGUUCAUGGUUAAAGAUAAACCUCUAAAAGUUUGGAUUGGACAAGCAUCCUGCAAGUUUGGCCACCCAGCUUUCAGAUCUAAUUCAAACUGAACUCCGUUACUUGAAUACAAGCAGCCCCUCAUUCUUAUCUGUCCUUAUAGAAAAUACUGGACAGAUACAUAAUGCCAGCUAAUUAAGUAUCUUUCUCUC